UUGGUCCUAAACUUGCCGUUGUUUUUAAUAAAAAUUACACAUGCAAGCCUCAACAAACCAGUGAGAAUGCCCAUAAAUUCCUAAACAGAAAGCAGGAGCAGGCAUCAGGAACACCUACCAAUUAGCCUACGACGCCUUGCUACGCCACACCCACAAGGGCCCUCAGCAGUGAAAAGUAUUAAAAAUAGACGAAAGCCUGAUUUAGUUAUUAUUAAACCUGGUUGGUUAAUUUCGUGCCAGCCACCGCGGUUAUACGAAAAACCAGAAACAACAGCCCACGGCGUAAAGAGUGAUAAAAGAGCCCAUUUACUUAAAGAAAAAUUACAGCAUGGUUGUAAAACACUACUGACUGCAAGAACUACAACAAAACAAGCCUUUAAACCACUUAACCUCACGAAAGCUAAGGAACAAACUGGGAUUAGAUACCCCACUAUGCUUAGCCAUAAACAAAAACAGUGCAAAUACAACACUGUUCGCCGGAGAACUACAAGCAAAAACUUGAAACUCUAAGGACUUGGCGGUGUCCCAUAUCAACCUAGAGGAGCCUGUCCUAUAAUCGAUACCCCCCGAUCCACCCAACCCUCCCUCGAAGUUCAGCCUAUAUACCGCCGUCGCCAGCCUACCCUAUGAGGGAGUUAAAGUAAGCAAAACAGCCACAGGCUAGGACGUCAGGUCAAGGUGUAGCACAUGGAAGGGAAGAG
rnacentral:rRNA from 1 species